GAUGAAGAACGCAGCGAAAUGCGAUACGUAGUGUGAAUUGCAGAAUUCAGUGAAUCAUCGAAUCUUUGAACGCACAUUGCACCUCUCGGUAUUCCGGGAGGUAUGCCUGUUCGAGCGUCAUUUGUACCCUCAAGCUCUGCUUGGUGCUGGGUGUUUGUUCCGCCUCUGUGUGUGAACUCGCCUCAAAACAAUUGGCAGCCGGCGUACUUGUUUCGGAGCGCAGCACAUUUUGCGAUCCAGAUCAACGUACAGCGGCAUCCAAGAAGCCUUAUUUAACGCUCUUGACCUCGGAUCAGGUAGGGAUACCCGCUGAACUUAAGCAUAUCAAUAAGCGGAGGA
rnacentral:misc_RNA from 1 species